rnacentral:rRNA from 6 species
CAUCGAUGAAGAACGUAGCGAAAUGCGAUACUUGGUGUGAAUUGCAGAAUCCCGUGAACCAUCGAGUCUUUGAACGCAAGUUGCGCCCGAGGCUAUUUGGCCGAGGGCACGCCUGCCUGGGCGUCAUGCC